rnacentral:rRNA from 1 species
AAGAAGAGGAACCAUGAAUUUUAUUAAGUUAAUAACUCCUAUUAAUUUGUUUAUAUGGUGGCACAAAAUCGGAAGCCCCGACUGUUUACUAAAAACACAACUAUCUGCAAUUAUGAAAAUAAUAGUAUAGGUAGUGAGAUUUGCCCAAUGCCGUAUUAAUAAGUAAUAAUAAUGGGUAACUGUUUCUUUACAAAAAAUUGGUUAAUAGCGGUCUUAACUAUGAGGAUCCUAAGGUAGCAAAAUAAAUUGGCCAUUAAAUGUGGUCCAGUAUCAAUAAUUUAACGAUGGCUUCACUGUCUCUACAACUUGCUCAGUGAAAUUGAAUUACCCGUGCAGAUGCGGGUUACCUCAAAGAGGACGGGAAGACCCUAU